UUGUGUUGAAAUUGAAGGGCAUACUGAUGUAGUAUGGCAUCUCUUGAGUAAUUCCAUAGGGAAGCCUAGAUGACAGUCCGUGGGAUGGGCGUGACAUAAUUUUCUUUCCUCUACAAUAAUUAGAGGAUUAUUCUAAUAAGGCACCAACUGUGAGAUUUGUAUGUCGUCUGUUCCACCCAAAUAGUAAUGAAGUGAGCAAGGCUCCACAGAUACAAAGGUUGGUCACACCAUCGACAUUGCAAAGAAAGAGGGCAAGAUUGGCUGACAAUAAGAAGAGGAUUGGAAAUGCUGAGCCUACAGAUUACCAUCUAUUACUGCAUAAACACCUCCGUAUGCAUGGAUACUAUUUAAGAGUGUUAGAUCUUGAUGUAACCUUUUGUUAUGUAAGUGAGUUUUGUGUUCAGUUUUCAGUUAAGAUUAUAUGCCCAACAGUGGAUAACAUGUUGGAUUCUUGAAUCUCCUUCAAGAACGAGGCUCAUAAACACUUAAUUAAAGUCAACACCAACGAUUCCUUUUCCA